rfam:Clostridium sp. BL8 Contig82, whole genome shotgun sequence.
AGAAUCCUAUCAGGUAAUACCUAGCCAGUAGCCUGUACCGAGUCCUUGGAGUCGAAACGGUAACGUUAGAUUUAAGCGUAGGACAGGGAGCAAACGAGCCGAAACGAAAGUGAAGCUAUUGAGCCGCGAAAUUAUUCUUUUUUUAAUGAAGAGGUCGAUACUGUAUUAGUAGUCGCAGACAACAUUCUAUAAAUUGUUAUGGUGAGAUUUAUGGAACUCUUCCGAGGUCAGAGUGCU